rnacentral:rRNA from 1 species
AUUGAACGCUGGCGGCAUGCCUUACACAUGCAAGUCGAACGGCAGCACGGGAGCAAUCCUGGUGGCGAGUGGCGAACGGGUGAGUGAUACAUCGGAACGUGCGAAAUUGUGGGUGAUAAGGCAGCGACAGAUGUGAUAAUACCGCAAACGCUCUACGGAUGAAAGCAGGGGACCGCAGGGCCUUCCGCGCAUGCAGCGGCGGAUGACAGAUUAGAUAGUUGGUGGGGUAAAGGCUCACCAAGGCAACGAUCUGUAGCUGGUCUGAGAGGAUGACCAGCCACACUGGUACUGAGACACGGCCCAGACUCCUACGGGAGGCAGCAGUGGGGAAUUUUGGACAAUGGGCGCAAGCCUGAUCCAGCCAUGCCGCGUGCAUGAUGAAGGCCUUCGGGUUGUAAACUGCUUUUGUUCGGAACGAAACGGCGUUUUCUAAUAAAGAGCUCUAAUGACGGUACCGAAAGAAUAAGCACCGGCUAACUACGUG